CAGCCGCCGCGGGAAUACGGAGGGCGCGAGCGUUACCCGGAUUUACUGGCGUAAAGGGCGUGUAGGCGGCCUGGGGCGUCCCAUGUGAAAGGCCACGGCUCAACCGUGGAGGAGCGUGGGAUACGCUCAGGCUAGAGGGUGGGAGAGGGUGGUGGAAUUCCCGGAGUAGCGGUGAAAUGCGCAGAUACCGGGAGGAACGCCGAUGGCGAAGGCAGCCACCUGGUCCACUUCUGACGCUGAGGCGCGAAAGCGUGGGGAGCAAACCGGAUUAGAUACCCGAGUAGUCCCUGUCUCUUAUACA
rnacentral:rRNA from 1 species